rnacentral:rRNA from 1 species
GACGAACGCUUGCGGCGUGCUUAACACAUGCAAGUCGAACGGAAAGGCCCUGCUUUUGUGGGGUGCUCGAGUGGCGAACGGGUGAGUAACACGUGAGUAACCUGCCCUUGACUUUGGGAUAACUUCAGGAAACUGGGGCUAAUACCGGAUAGGAGCUCCUGCUGCAUGGUGGGGGUUGGAAAGUUUCGGCGGUUGGGGAUGGACUCGCGGCUUAUCAGCUUGUUGGUGGGGUAGUGGCUUACCAAGGCUUUGACGGGUAGCCGGCCUGAGAGGGUGACCGGCCACAUUGGGACUGAGAUACGGCCCAGACUCCUACGGGAGGCAGCAGUGGGGAAUAUUGCACAAUGGGCGGAAGCCUGAUGCAGCAACGCCGCGUGCGGGAUGACGGCUUUCGGGUUGUAAACCGCUUUCGCCUGUGACGAAGCGUGAGUGACGGUAAUGGGUAAAGAAGCACCGGCUAACUACGUGCCAGCAGCCGCGGUGAUACGUAGGGUGCGAGCGUUGUCCGGAUUUAUUGGGCGUAAAGGGCUCGUAGGUGGUUGAUCGCGUCGGAAGUGUAAUCUUGGGGCUUAACCCUGAGCGUGCUUUCGAUACGGGUUGACUUGAGGAAGGUAGGGGAGAAUGGAAUUCCUGGUGGAGCGGUGGAAUGCGCAGAUAUCAGGAGGAACACCAGUGGCGAAGGCGGUUCUCUGGGCCUUUCCUGACGCUGAGGAGCGAAAGCGUGGGGAGCGAACAGGCUUAGAUACCCUGGUAGUCCAUGCUGUAAACGGUGGGUACUAGGUGUGGGGUCCAUUCCACGGGUUCCGUGCCGUAGCUAACGCUUUAAGUACCCCGCCUGGGGAGUACGGCCGCAAGGCUAAAACUCAAAGGAAUUGACGGGGCCCCGCACAAGCGGCGGAGCAUGCGGAUUAAUUCGAUGCAACGCGUAGAACCUUACCUGGGUUUGACAUGGAUCGGGAGUGCUCAGAGAUGGGUGUGCCUCUUUUGGGGUCGGUUCACAGGUGGUGCAUGGCUGUCGUCAGCUCGUGUCGUGAGAUGUUGGGUUAAGUCCCGCAACGAGCGCAACCCUUGUUCACUGUUGCCAGCACGUUAUGGUGGGGACUCAGUGGAGACCGCCGGGGUCAACUCGGAGGAAGGUGGGGAUGACGUCAAGUCAUCAUGCCCCUUAUGUCCAGGGCUUCACGCAUGCUACAAUGGCUGGUACAGAGAGUGGCGAGCCUGUGAGGGUGAGCGAAUCUCGGAAAGCCGGUCUCAGUUCGGAUUGGGGUCUGCAACUCGACCUCAUGAAGUCGGAGUCGCUAGUAAUCGCAGAUCAGCAACGCUGCGGUGAAUACGUUCCCGGG